AUACGGAAGGUGCAAGCGUUAAUCGGAAGUCACUGGGCGUAAAGCGCUCGUAGGUGGCUUUGUAAGUCAGGUGUGAAAGCCCACGGCUCAAACCGUGGGAAUUGCACUUGAUACUGCAUUGCUUGAGUUCGGGAGAGGGUAGUGGAAUUCCAGGUGUAGGAGUGAAAUCCGUAGAGAUCUGGAGGAACACCAGUGGCGAAGGCGACUACCUGGACCGAUACUGACACUGAGGAGCGAAAGCGUGGGGAGC
rnacentral:rRNA from 1 species